CCCGCUGAACUUAAGCAUAUCAAUAAGCGGAGGAAAAGAAACCAACAGGGAUUACCCUAGUAACGGCGAGUGAAGCGGUAACAGCUCAAAUUUAAAAUCCGGCCUUUAUGGGUCUGAGUUGUAAUUUGUAGAGGAUGUUUCGGACAAGGCUGUGGUUUAAGUUUCUUGGAACAGAGCGUCAUAGAGGGUGAGAGUCCCGUCUAGAACCGAUGGCCGCGUCCAUGUGAAAUUCCUUCGACGAGUCGAGUUGUUUGGGAAUGCAGCUCAAAAUGGGUGGUAAAUUUCAUCUAAAGCUAAAUAUUGGCCAGAGACCGAUAGCGCACAAGUAGAGUGAUCGAAAGAUGAAAAGCACUUUGAAAAGAGAGUUAAACAGUAUGUGAAAUUGUUGAAAGGGAAGCGCUUGCAACCAGACUUGUGUGUAGCGGCUCCCCCAGUCUUCUGGACUGGGUUAUUCUGCUUAUCCAGGCCAGCAUCGAUUUAGGUGGUCAGUCAAAGGCCCUGGGAAUGUAUCUACCUUCGGGUCGACUUAUAGCCCAGGGUGUAAUGUGGCCUACUUGGAUCGAGGAACGCGCUCUUGCUCGGAUGUUGGCGUAAUGGUUGUAAGCGGCCCGUCUUGAAACACGG
rnacentral:rRNA from 1 species